CCAGGCGCCCCAGACGCGAGACCUAAACUAUGUCUCACUCCUAGUAUCUGUUGGACACAGCCAUUGCAUUGUUGCAACUAUUGCUCGUAUUUAUUCCAAUCUACUGCAAGAACCGCGCCAACAACACCGUUCAUUACACCCACGUCAUCCAAAGCAUGUGAACCAGGAGAUGUAGACAUUAGACCAGAAGUAUGUACUAACAUUAUUAUCUGCCAGACACGGCCAACACUGUGCUGUCACUAUUGCUCGUUACAUUACAUUUAUAGAACUACAAGCACCACACAAUUAACUUCCCCCAAAGAGUGUGUACCAGAAGAACCAGACUUAAAUCCAGAGCUGUGUACUAGCAUAACUAUCUGCCAGACACAGCCAUAUAUGUGCUGUAACUAUUGCUCAUUACAUGACAGUUCUGCAACCUUUCUCAUUGUGGAAUAUUUGAAUUUUUUUUUUUGCUUUACUUUUUUUUUAUUUAUAAUACAACAAUAACAAAAUGUAUACUAGAAAUAGAUCGAUCUAGAAUAUCCCAUUAACCCCCAAAACUUAAAGUAAAUUAAAUAUAAAUUUUCUAUGAAAUAUCGAUUUCUAUUGGCCAAACUAAGACACUACAAAAAGAUUUUUUUUUUAAAUUCCAAGUAGUAACGAUUCUGUGAGAUGUACUCUGGCAGUCUACUUAACAGGAAGUGACCACGUGAGGAACAUUAUAUAAAAAAAUAUUUUUUUUUUUUACAAUCUUUAAGUGAAAACAGAUUAGUUAAUAACAUUAAAAAACACACAAAUUAAGCAUUUUAAUGCCAAAAAAGUAUAUUUUAAUGCUUUUUUUACUAACAAAUUAUAACAAUAUAGUAAAAAAAAUAGGCAUCAAAUGUACAACAUUAUUUGGUACUAACCAGUACUAUCCAGAUAUAUUUUUUACAACAACAAAUAA